rnacentral:rRNA from 1 species
UACAGAGGUCCCGAGCGUUGUUCGGAUUCACUGGGCGUAAAGGGUGCGUAGGUGGUGAGGUAAGUCGGAUAUGAAAUCUCCAAGCUCAACUUGGAAAUGGCAUUGGAAACUACCUUGCUGGAGGUUUGGAGGGGGGACUGGAAUUCUCGGUGUAGCAGUGAAAUGCGUAGAUAUCAAGAGGAACACCAGUGGCGAAGGCGAGUCCCUGGACAACACCUGACACUGAGGCACGAAAGCUAGGGGAGCAAACAGG